GCUCAUGUAGUUUAACUAAAACAAUAGUUUUGUAAACUAUAAUUGACCUGUCUAUAAGCG
rnacentral:tRNA from 1 species